rnacentral:rRNA from 1 species
UCAAAUCAGGCGGGACUACCCGCUGAACUUAAGCAUAUCAAUAAGCGGAGGAAAAGAAACUAACAAGGAUUCCCCUAGUAACUGCGAGUGAAGCGGGAAAAGCUCAAAUUUAAAAUCUGGCGGUCUUUGGCCGUCCGAGUUGUAGUUUAGAGAAGUGCUUUCCGCGCUGGACCGUGUACAAGUCUCCUGGAACGGAGCGUCAUAGAGGGUGAGAAUCCCGUCUUUGACACGGACUGCCAGUGCUUUGUGAUGCGCUCUCAAAGAGUCGAGUUGUUUGGGAAUGCAGCUCAAAAUGGGUGGUGAAUUCCAUCUAAAGCUAAAUAUUGGCGAGAGACCGAUAGCGAACAAGUACCGUGAGGGAAAGAUGAAAAGCACUUUGGAAAGAGAGUUAAACAGUACGUGAAAUUGUUGAAAGGGAAACGCUUGAAGUCAGUCGCGUCUGUCAAGACUCAGCCUUGCCUUUGGCUKGGUGUAUUUCUUGAUAGACGGGCCAGCAUCACUUUUGAUCGCCGGAAAAGGGUGGGGGAAAGGUGGCACCUUCGGGUGUGUUAUAGUCCCCUGUCGUAUACGGUGGUUGGGAGUGAGGAACUCAGCACGCCUUUAUGGUCGGGGCUUCGGCCUACGUUCGUGCUUAGGAUGCUGGCGUAAUGGCUUUAAACGACCCGUCUUGAAACACGGACCAAGGDGUCUAACAUGCCCGCGAGUGUUUGGGUGGAAAACCCAUGCGCGUAAUGAAAGUGAAAGUUGGGACCUCUGUCGUGGAGGGCACCGACGCCCGGACCAGAACUUCUGUGACGGAUCUGCGGUAGAGCGUGUAUGUUGGGACCCGAAAGAUGGUGAACUAUGCCUGAAUAGGGUGAAGCCAGAGGAAACUCUGGUGGAGGCUCGUAGCGAUUCUGACGUGCAAAUCGAUCGUCAAAUUUGGGUAUAGGGGCGAAAGACUAAUCGAACCAUCUAGUAGCUG